CCAAACUAUAAAUAAAAAUGAACUUUAUGUUUGGCACUAAAUAGAUGCAGUUAUUAGCGAUGAGAGAUACAACCUUGCUGUAAUUGAACACAAUGUCAAGCUCGCAAACAUUCUGGAAGCAUUUGUCCAACGUUUCCACAAAAACUGAAGGCAUCAUAUCUAAAGUAAGUAAAAUUAUCAAAUAUUUAAAAUAAAUAUCAAUAAUUAGGGGUUCUAGUAAUA